rnacentral:rRNA from 1 species
AUUGAACGCUGGCGGCAGGCCUAACACAUGCAAGUCGAGCGAGCGGCGGACGGGAGAGUAAUGUAUGGGGACUGCCCGAUAGAGGGGGAUAACUACUGGAAACGGUAGCUAAUACCGCAUACUAUCGGAUAACCCAUAUGGGAUUAGCUAGUAGGGGAGGUAAUGGCUCACCGAGGCGACGAGCCCUAGCUGGUCUGAGAGGAUGAUCAGCCACACUGAGACUGAGACACGGCCCAGACUCCUACGGAGGCAGCAGUGGGGAAUAUUGCACAAGGGGCGCAAGCCUGAUGCAGCCAUGCCGCGUGUAUUAAGAAGGCCCUAGGGUUGUAAAGUACUUUCAGUGGGGAGGCGUUACCGACAGAAGAAGCACCGACUAACUCAGUGCCAGCAGCCGCGGUAAUUC